rnacentral:tRNA from 1 species
GGUAAUUAGUUAAUCAAAACAAAUGAUUUCGACUCAUUAAAUUAUGAUCUUUAUUCAUAAUUACCA